rnacentral:rRNA from 1 species
GAUGAACGCUGGCGGCGUGCUUAACACAUGCAAGUCGAACGGAAAGGCUCCUGCUUGCAGGGGUACUCGAGUGGCGAACGGGUGAGUAACACGUGGGUGAUCUGCCCUGCACUUCGGGAUAAGCCUGGGAAACUGGGGCUAAUACCGGAUAGGACGAUGGUUUGGAUGCCAUUGUGGAAAGUUUUUUCGGUGUGGGAUGAGCUCGCGGCCUAUCAGCUUGUUGGUGGGGUAAUGGCCUACCAAGGCGUCGACGGGUAGCCGGCCUGAGAGGGUGUACGGCCACAUUGGGACUGAGAUACGGCCCAGACUCCUACGGGAGGCAGCAGUGGGGAAUAUUGCACAAUGGGCGCAAGCCUGAUGCAGCGACGCCGCGUGGGGGAUGACGGCCUUCGGGUUGUAAACUCCUUUCGCUAGGGACGAAGCGCAAGUGACGGUACCUGGAGAAGAAGCACCGGCUAACUACGUG